UUAAUAAUAUUCUUAUUUAAAAUAUAAUUAUUUUAAUAUUUGGUCCUUUCGUACUAAAAUAUUAUAAUUUUUUAAAGAUAGAAACCAACCUGGCUUACGCCGGUUUGAACUCAGAUCAUGUAAGAAUUUAAAAGUCGAACAGACUUAAAAUUUGAGCGGCUACACCCAAAAUUAUAUCUUAAUCCAACAUCGAGGUCGCAAUCUUUUUUAUCGAUAUGAACUCUCCAAAAAAAUUACGCUGUUAUCCCUAAAGUAACUUAAAUUUUUAAUCAUUACUAAUGGAUCAAUUAUUCAUAAAUCAAUGGUUUUAAAAAUUAAAAGUUUUUUAAAUUUUAAUAUCACCCCAAUAAAAUAUUUUAAUUUAUAAUAAUAAAACUAAUCUUUACAAUUAAAAUAAAUAAAAUAUAAAGAUUUAUAGGGUCUUCUCGUCUUUUAAAUUUAUUUUAGCUUUUUGACUAAAAAAUAAAAUUCUAUAAAAAAUUCAAAUGAAAC
rnacentral:rRNA from 2 species